UGCCGUAUCAUGCUUGUCUCUGUGAACAUGCGAAUGGCUCAGUAAAUCAAUUAUAGUUUAUUUGAUGGUAUCUUACUCCCUGGAUAACUGUGGUAAUUCUAGAGCUAAUACAUGCAUCAAAGCCCUGACUCUUGGAAGGGGUGUAUUUAUUAAAUAAAAAACCAACGCGGUUCCCCGCUCCUUUGGUGAUUCAUAAUAACUUCUCGAAUCGCAUGGCCUUGUGCCGGCGAUGCUUCAUUCAAAUAUCUGCCCCAUCAACUUUCUAUGGUGGGAAAGAAGCCUACCAUGGUUUCAACGGGUAAAGGGGAAAUAGUGUUCUUUUCCGGAGAGAGAGCCCGAGAAACCGCUAACCCCCUCCUAGGAAAAGCCCCCGCGCCCCUAUUAUCCCCUCCCCACCCCGGGGGGGGGAGUGGCAAAAAAUAAAAAAAAAAGGGCCCUUUGGGUCUUAUAAUUUUAAAAGAAUAACAAUUUAAUCCCUUAAAACAAGAAAAAUUAUAAAGUAAGUUUGGGGCCCCGACAAGCCCAAAAACGCGUAGAGCUGCGCCAUGCUAAGAACCACCACCCCUCUAAUGAAAAAAAAGAAUUCUACUACU
rnacentral:rRNA from 1 species